GAUGAACGCUAGCGGGAGGCCUAACACAUGCAAGCCGAGCGGUAUUGUUUCUUCGGAAAUGAGAGAGCGGCGUACGGGUGCGUAACACGUGUGCAACCUGCCUUUAUCUGGGGGAUAGCCUUUCGAAAGGAAGAUUAAUACUCCAUAAUAUAUUGAGCGGCAUCGUUUAAUAUUGAAAGCUCCGGCGGAUAGAGAUGGGCAUGCGCAAGAUUAGCUAGUUGGUGAGGUAACGGCUCACCAAGGCGAUGAUCUUUAGGGGGCCUGAGAGGGUGAUCCCCCACACUGGUACUGAGACACGGACCAGACUCCUACGGGAGGCAGCAGUGAGGAAUAUUGGUCAAUGGGUGCAAGCCUGAACCAGCCAUCCCGCGUGAAGGACGACUGCCCUAUGGGUUGUAAACUUCUUUUGUAUAGGGAUAAACCUACCUCGUGAGGGUAGCUGAAGGUACUAUACGAAUAAGCACCGGCUAACUACGUGCCAGCCGCCGCAGUAACAC
rnacentral:rRNA from 1 species